rnacentral:misc_RNA from 1 species
GUUCGUUAGUAGCAGAAAUGAAGGGCUUCAGGAGUUUGAUAUCGCGAUCUAUGUUUCGCCAGAAAGGAUUCGACCCCUAUGGGGAAAUCAAUACUACUUGUCGUCUAAUGUCUCACCGGGCUUUACACGUUUCUUCUGCAAAAACGACGACGACGACGUCUUUUUUGUAUAACAAAAGCAAUAGCUCUUUCUCGGGUUUCAAAUCGUUAUGGUCUACUUUGCGCCCAGAGCUAUGGACUCCUUUUGCAGGGCAGAGGAGGACUAUGUUUAUACAGACUCAAUCGACACCCAAUCCAUCAUCGCUCAUGUUCUAUCCUGGGAAGCCUGUUAUGGAAGUUGGAAGUGCAGAUUUCCCCAAUGCUCGUUCAGCCAUGAAUUCUCCAUUGGCUAAAGCCCUCUAUGGAAUUGAUGGAAUUAGUCGUGUUUUCUUUGGAUCUGAUUUUGUCACUGUAACAAAGUCAGAUGAUGCUUCCUGGGAUUUCCUAAAGCCUGAAAUAUUUGCAGCAAUCAUGGACUUCUACUCUUCUGGGCAGCCAUUGUUUCUAGAUUCAGAAACUGCAGCUGCAAAGGACACAGCUAUUCAUGAGGAUGAUUCUGAAAUAGUUGCAAUGAUUAAAGAACUGCUAGAAACUCGUAUUCGACCAGCAGUGCAAGAUGAUGGUGGAGAUAUUGAGUAUCGGGGAUUUGAUCCGGAAACCGGAAUAGUCAAAUUGAGAAUGCAAGGAGCAUGUAGUGGCUGUCCAAGCUCAUCGGUCACUCUGAAAUCUGGAAUUGAAAAUAUGCUGAUGCAUUAUGUAUCGGAGGUGAAAGGAGUGGAACAAGAAUUAGAUGCUGAAGACGAGGAUGCAGCAUUGGCUGGCCAGAUUGAGUAGUUCAAAAUUUUCUUCACCAUCAUGUGGCGUAUUCAUAUGCAUGUUUGAGUCAGAGGAUUUCUGAUAUGCAUUCCGGCAGAGUGCAAAUAAAGUUUGUUGGUUAUUUUUAUUGGUGGGAUAUGUUGUGCCUUCCUGUAAGCUAAGUGCAAUUAUAUAAUGCAAGAGUGAGAAUAUAGAGCUGUAUGGACGACAUUGUAUUACUUGCAUAA